rfam:Peniophora sp. CONT PENSPscaffold_127_Cont200, whole genome shotgun sequence.
GCCGGAAUAGCUCAGCUGGGAGAGCAACAGACUGAAGACUUGUCGCAAAGCUUUCUGGAGGUCCCGUGUUCAAUCCACGGUUCUGGCA